rnacentral:lncRNA from 1 species
UCAAAUACUUUUUUCAUUUUCUUUUUUCCCUUUUUGAUAAAGGGUAUUACUUUCCUGAUUAUUACAAAGUUUUGUAGGUGGAACAAUAUAUAAUUACAACUAAACUAAGUUAAUGUCUUAUUAUGCUGCCGACUUGUUUUGUCCUAUAAGAAAAAAAAAGACAAAGUCAGUCGUUUCACUUUCACGUCAUUAACUUUGUCAACAAUAGAUCAAAUAUUACUGUUAAAUCAAAUAUUGUUCCACUAUAUAGUCACGUAUAGUAGAGAACCUUGAUCGAAUAUAUAUGGUCC